rnacentral:tRNA from 1 species
GCUAGCGUAGCUUAUUUAAAGCAUAACACUGAAGAUGUUAAGACUGAGUCCUAAAAAACUCCGUAAGUAC